rnacentral:lncRNA from 1 species
GUGAUAGAGCAAAGAAAAAGGCUAAGUUCAGACGCCGUGGAAGCUGUCAGAAAGUAACAAUGGUCACCAUCUCUGAACCGGACCCUGGACUCUCUGAGGAACCUGAGGACACGUCUUUGGACCGGGAGGAGACCAGGAAGAGAAGAUUUGCUCUAUGUUUGCCCAUCACUCUCAUUGUGAGCCUCGGACUGCUGAUUAUCCUCACGAUCUCCCUGCGCCUCAGUUCAGUGAUGCCCACGGAGGAGGAGGAGGAGGCCCCCAGCAUCACAGAGUUCCACUCCUCUACCCACGUGUUGCCCGUGGGCCAAACGGCCCGCUACACCUGCCACGCCGGCGGCACGCCGGAGCCCACAGUAGAGUGGCUCCACAACGGCAGGCCCCUGGAGAGGGACGGCACAGACGACCAAUCAGAGGCCUGGGUGGAGAGGGGGUUCCUCUUCGUCAGAGGUGGGAGGUACGGCGUGAACACGGUCUGCUGCAUGGCGAGCAACAGCGCUGGCACGGCCAAUCACACCGCUGAACUGCUUGUCUUUGGUAAGUCCUGGAUCCAAGGAGAGAUGUUUGUUGUUGAUGUAUUCAUAACAUUACUGUUGAUAUAUUCAUAGUGUUUUUGUUGAUAUAUUCAUAGCAUUGUUGUUGACAUAUAUUGUCUGUACAUUGUGGCAACCCGCUCCUUGAGUGAGCCGAGUUCCAUGUACAAAUCACGCUUGGCAGCAAGGGUUUAAGUCGAUCACGGCAUUUAUUGCGUACAUCUGUGACAGGCAAAGUAAACGCGGUAUCUAGGGCCUCCGUGGGCCUCUAGUCUCUCGCGGACCAGAGCGCUACCUUCUUCCUUGCUCCCGUUUGCCUUUUAUAGUCUUUCCCUGGCUGUCCAGGCAGGUGUCUCCCAUCCCGCUGAUUGGGGUUCGGUUGGUGCUCUCCGUCGCCCACUGGUGGGUGACGGUGGUAUCGGCCAUCCCGGACCAACCCUCGGGCUGGUCCGGGCCGAGGUUUACGGGGCGGGAUGCCACAACAUAUAUAUGGUAGGGGUGUAACGGUACACUGAAUUCAUGAUUUGGUUCAUACCUCGGUUCAUGGUUCGGCACGAGUUCGGUACAAUGAAGGGAAAAGAAAAAACAAAAAUGCAGAAGGCAAUUCUUUUUUAUUGUGCAUGUCUCAGGUUGUACCACGUAGUGUCAUACAGUCUCUCCCCUGAGCUAGCUGCAACAGCCUGAACUGUGUAAUCUAAGGCUACGUUUACACGAUGACGGUCUGAACAAAAGUGGUGUUGCGUAUUCACUUUUUAUUCCGCGUUUAGACGAGUGAUUUCGGGAGGAAAUCUGCGUGCAUACGGUGACGCAAAAGUGUGUGGAAUUCGAUUGGGUAUGCAUGCCAG